rnacentral:piRNA from 1 species
UAACAACUUUAGGGUAGCGGGUAGAGUGU